rnacentral:lncRNA from 1 species
GAUCUCCUACAGGUCUUACCAUUCGAUUCUGUUCCACUAAAAACCUAUCUUCCUUACUUCAAAGUGUAGAUGAGCCUGAAUACCAAGUAAAAGAGAUACAAGAUAUACGGGCACAUGUUGUUAAACACAAUUUUCUUUUAAUAUGCUAUAAUUUUAUUAUUGGCUUUUACAUUGAAUUAGUCAUUUUCUUUGAUUGACCUUAUUAGAAGCGGU